AGAGAAAGAAGGAGAGAGAGAGAGAGAGAGAGAGAGAGAGAGAGAGAGAGAGAGAGACAGGGACUCCCAAGCAGGCUUUGCACUGAUAGUGCAGAGGCCAGUGUGGGGCUCAGACUCACAAACUGUGAGAUCAUGACCUGAGCUGAAAUCAAGAGUGGGAUGCUCAACCAACUGAGCCACCCAGUCUCCCCCUUGGAGUUUUCAUUCUUAUGAGGCAGGCAAUAAACAAGUAAGUAACCAUAACUAUCACAGAAUAAGACAUUUUAUGAAGAAGGAAAGCAGGGUGAGGACAUGGAGCACACAGGGGCAUGUUUGUGGUUAUUUUGGCUCCAGGGUCAGGUGAUCCUGAUGAGGUGACCCUUGAGUCUGGCAGAAGUGAGAGGUGAACAUGGCAAAUAUUUGGAUGAAGAGCAUUCCAGGAAAAGGAAGUAGCCUAGGGGAAUCAAAACAGCAAGGAAGCCAGUUGGGUGGGAGUGGAUGAGUGAGGGAAGGAUGGUAGAGAAUGAUCCUGGAGACGGGAUGGGGCCUGACCACACAAGCCCUGCGGGUCAUACUAAGGGGUCUGGAUUUUGCACUGGAUGUGAAGGAAGCUGUUGGAGAGCUUUCUUCAGGGAAGUGGCAUGAUCUGAUUUACCUCCUGAUCAGAUCCCUCUGGCUGCUGUUUGAGGGUGGACUGUAGAGGCAAGAGUGGAAGGGGGUAGCGAGGAGGUGGCUGCUGGGGUCUAGGGGGCAGGUGAUGGUGGCAGGGUUGCAGGUUAGGUUUCCUGUGCUAUGAAGGAAGAGUUCUCAGGACUUGCAGAGGGUUGAAUGGAGGAUGUGAAAGAAAUGAGUCAAAUAUGCCACAGUUUUAGCCUAGUCCUCUGGAUUCCAUUUACUGAGCCGAGGUGGACUGUGGGAGGAGGGUUAUCUUCCCAGGGGCCAGUCUUAGAGUGAGGUCUUCCUUCCACCAGCUGCUGGCCCCUUUUUUACGAGGCCAGCCUGAGUAUGUGUUAUAUGUUGCCUCCUACGGUUACUUAUUUUUCAUCGCUAUAGCAUGCCACCUUAUUUUUCUUUACGGAAGAAUUUUUUUUUUUUUUUAACUUCUCCAAGAGGCAGGUAUGGGGCAGAAUGGUUAGAAAUGUGUGCUAGGGUGAGGUUUUAACCAUUUACCUUCUACUCCUCCUUCUUCCUGUUUUCUUCCUCCACUUCCUCCUUAAUUUUUUUUCCCCUUGUCAAGUAGAGAUGGCAACAGUAUCUGCUCCUGUGGCUUGUGAGAGUAAAGUGAGAUUUGCACGUGAGGUGGUUUGUUUGGGUCUGGCGAAUGUUGGCUCUUGGCAGUUACUAUGUUGUGUGGCUCCCUAUUUCCCAUUAUAUUUUUGUGUUGCUGGCUCUCCUAUCUCAGGGUCAUCUAUGUUGGAUCACUUUAGAGUGAGGGUAUCACUUUUCCCCCUUCCAUGUCUUGGUUUUCCUUCACAUAAAAGGGGGAAGCAAGACUUUCUUAAUAAAUGAAACAGUGGAGGCCCUCCAGUGCUGGAUUUACAUUGUGCAUUACAUUGUAUUCUAAGUAUAAAAGCCUACAUUGAGUUGAGGGUGCUGGAGAAGCCAUUACAUGCCCCACAGGGAAGUGAGCGCCCCGUGGAUCAUUCUGAGUAGGUGCUGCAUGAGCCAUGCAAGAUGUGUAUAUAGUAAUCACCAAAUUGUGUGGAUCCAACCAGAAUAAAAAAUGCCUGGAGCUUUGGCUUAGGGCCAUGGAUGAACAGAGCCUUCAGCCUGGCAUAGAACAGGAGUGAAAGGCAUGGGUGUAGGACAGUGAUAGAUAGAACCAAAUGUAAGUAUAAGCAGAGAUGAAAAUUUGUGGCUGCCUCUUUCCCUCUCUGUAUUUGUGACAGACUUUAUUAAUCCAUCACAUCAUUCAUUCCUGAUUCUGAUAUAAAAUUACCAUUUAUUGAGUGUUGACUCAAUAAACAUACCAGGCACAAUGUUCUAGAAACAUUACCUGGCUGAAUCCCAACAACUCAGUGACAUAGAUCUAUUAUUAUCCUUAAAGUACAGGUGAGAAAAGUGAGUCUCAGAGAGGUCAGUAACUUGUCCAGGAUCACACAGCUGGCUGAUGGCAGAGCUGGGAGUAGAACUUUGGCAGCCAAACUCAAAAGCCUGCUCUCUAAUCAUUUUGUGUUACUGCCUCUAGAUAUGCGCAGAUGCUACCUCAGAAUCUGCUUCAUUAAGAUUUUGAGAUUCGGGUUCAUAUUACAGUUAACAUUCAUUCGUUCAUUCAUUCGUUCACUAAUUAAACAAUACUUUGGUGCAUCUACCAUAUGCCAGGCACAGUGUUAAGUGCUAAGGAUUCAAUAGUGAAUAAGACAUAAUUCCUGCUCAGGGCUCUACUGAGUGGAAGGAUAACUUCUUGUUUAGGACCGUCAGUGGGUAGGAAGACUCAGAAUUUAUGUAAUGUGGGACUUAGUGCCUGCCCCCUUCCUUGCAUUGAACCAGAAAGUUUCCCAAUUGAUGAUGGAAAUGAGCAACAACCUGGAAAAUGAACUAUGAUGCCCCAGGAUGCACCCUGAAUCAAAAUUGGGCCAGUCACCACCUUUUUCUGACUUGAUUGAUUAAGCUGUGCGAUCUUGGGCCUCAAUUAUAACUCCUGGUCAAGCAAUGCUUUCUCAUGCGUGGUUCACUUUGCUCCUGCUAGCACCUGAUUGGAAAGAGGAGGUCUGUGAUGUGUAGAGAGGUUACGUGACUUGCCUAAUUUUUACAGUGGUAGGAGACAAGCUGGGACUAGAACCCAGUUCCAACUUCUAGUUCCUUGUUUUUCUUACUCAUCAUGCUGACAUCUUAAUGUCUUUAGGCUUUCAGUUUCCCCAUCUAUAAAAUAAGGACAUUAAACCACAUGAUCUCUAAAACUAACUUCCUCCUUCCCUUCCUUUCUUCCUGCCUUCUUGUCUUCCUGUCUUAACUCUGGAGUACCUACAGAGUCUAUACAGCUAAAUUUGGAAAUAAUGUUAUGGAAAAUACACACACACACACACACACACACACACACACACACACACCCAUCAAGAAAGCUAAAACACAACCCACAGAAUGGGAAAAAAUAUUUGCAAAUCAUAUUUAUAUGGAUUGUAUCCAGAACAUAUAAGGAACUGUUACAAAAGACAACCCACUUAAGAAAUUAGCAAAGGAUCUGAAUAGACAUUUUUUCAAAGAAGAUAUACAAAUGGCCAGUAAGCACAUGAAAGGAUACUCAAUAUCACUAACCAUCAGGGGGAUGCAAAUCAAAACCACAGUGAGAUACCACUUCACACCCAGUAGGAUGGCUAUGAUCAAAAGAAAGAGAAUAACAAGUAUUGGUGGAGAAAUUGAAACCCUCAUAUACUUCUAGUAGAGUUGUAAAAUAGUACAGUCACUUUGGAAAACAGUCUGGCAGUUCGUCAAAAGGUCAACUGUAGAGUUACUAUAUGAUACAGCAAUUCUACUCGUAGGUAUAUACCCAAGAGACACGAAAGCAUGUCUACACAGAAGACUGUACACGAGUGUUCACAGAAGCCUUAUGCAUAAUAAGCAAAAAAUGGCAACAACCCAAAUGCCCAUCAACUGAUGGAUGGAUAAACAAAAUGUGGUAUGUCCAUACAACGGAAUGGAAUGUUAUGCAUCCAUAAAAGUAAUGAAGUACUCCUACAUGCUAAAACAUAGAUAAACUUUGAAAACAUCAUGCUAAGUAAAAGAAGUCAACCACAAAAGGUCAUGUAUUGUAUGGUUUCACUGACAUAAAAUGCAUAGAAUGAGCAAAUCUUUAGAAACAGAAAAUAGAUUCGUGAUUGCCUAGGGCUGAGGAAAAUGGGGAGUGACCGCUAAUAGGUACUGGGGUUAUUUUAGGGAUGGCGAAAGUGUUGUAAAGUUGAUUAUGUUGAUGGUUGCACUGUCUGUGAAUAUACUAAAAACCACUGUAUUGUACAAGUGAAUAACAUGGAAAAUGAAUUAUAUCUCAAUCCUAUUAUAUAUAUGUUAUUUUUUUAUUUAUUAUUUUUUUGAGAGGGAGAAAGAACUGGGGAGGGGCAGAGGGAGAGGGAGAGAGAGAAUCCCAAGCAAGCUCCGUGCUCAGUGGGGAGCCCAUCACAGUGUUUGGGGCUUGAUUUCACGACCGUGAGAGCAUGGCCUGAGCCAAAAUCAAGAGUCAGAUGCUGAACUGCCUGAGCCACCCAGGCACCCCCUAUUAUAUACAUUUUAAAAACCCUAGCAUGGUCUUUGCCCUUGUGGAAAACACAGUCUUGCUGGGAAGAUAAAUACUAAUCAAAUAAUUAUCCAGAGAGAUUUAUAGUUACAAAGUAUGGUAAGUGCUAUGAAGGGAAAGAAGUGGAUAUUAUAAAAGAGAAUAGCAGGAGGCUAAUGGGGGUUAGAGAAAAGGUAUUAGAAAAACUCUAACAUUCAGGUGCUCCAGCAGAGAGCCCCAAAUAACACUGGCUUAGAUGAGGCAGAUGUUUAAUCCUCGCUGGUGCAGUAUGGUAGCUGUAAGCAGUCUAGGGGUCAUAUGGAAGCCCUACAAUUUCUACUAACAUGUGGCUCUUUCCCUCCUUUGGAGGGGCUUCCUACUAUGUCUACAGUCCAAGCAAUGAGAAGGAGGGAAGAGGCACCGGAAGGUUCAUCACUUCUGCUCAGAGCCAGAACUCAGUCACACGAGGCCGGGAUGUCCCAGGGCUGGGAUGAGCCAGGACCGCAAGGAGGGGGGCUUUGUGCUGACUCCCGGAAGGCUGGUUGUGUAUCCUCAGCUUUGAGAACUGAAUUCCAUGGGUUGUGUCAGUGUCAGACCUGUGAAGUUCAGUUCUUCAGCUGGGAUAUCUCUGUCAUCGUGGACUCGGGGAUACUGCAGAGAGCAGACCCAAGGGUGGCCGAAGGAUUUGGAAAACUGGAGCAGAUGGGGUCUCAGACUCUGAAGGAAUAGGGAGGGUGUGGUCAUGGGAAAAGCAGUCAUUUGAUUGUGAGAAAACUUGAAUUCUAUGCUGAGCAGUUUUCCAAGCAGCUAACUGCUGUCUGCAAGUCAUUCUUGCUACAGUUGCGGCCGCUACUACUUUACAUAUAUUGAUUACUGCUGGCAGUCCAGGUACUGUACUAAGGGCUUUACAUGCUGCUAUAGGAGACUCUGGGGGGAAAUCACUAAUGAAGCUUGGGACACCCAGAACUGACAUGUAACGAUAUUUCCCCCUCUUCGUGGGAUCAGACAGCAUUAAUAGAAUGUGACGGUUGUUCUUUAGCAUGGAUUGCUGAGAUAACUGGUCCCUUUUAAAGAUGAGAAUCAUGGGUACAUCCCUCUUACGGUCCCCUGUCUUUUUAUUUGGAUAUCUACUUCCUUGCCUUCUAUAAAUACAUUAGGAUACAUUGUCUUUGUGUUAUAAGCAAGGAAAAAUAGGUUGUAAUUAGACUUUACCAGGAUCCCUAGUUUCUCCCUGGGAAAAGGGAUACAGAGGUUUUGAAGGCUCCCUCCAUUUGCUGGCAUGGUUAGCUGUAUGUGGUGGGUCAAGCCCUUUCAUUGUCUUCCUCUGUCACCAAGUCAGGUCUAUUUUGAGGCUCACGUGUGGUAUGAUGAUGACAAUUUCCACCUUUAGGCAGAGUGCUUGGGCUGUAUAAGUAAUACUUGGACUUUCAUCAGGUUUUAGAUUGGAUGGGAAUACGAAGUCUCAUCCCUUGGAAACUCCUUGAUGCAUCAGUGUCUCUUGGUGUCCUGAAAGGUCCAUCUCUGUAUAGUCUACAGAAGUAAAGUGUGGUCUGGCCCAGAGAGGAGAGGCAGGCACAAAGUGGGCGACCCCAGAGCAUGUGCAUUCUCACACUUUCUUCUCAGUGACCCUGAGGUUUAUUGAGUGCCUACCAUGGGUUGGCCACUGUCCUUAGGGCAUAGCUUACAUUCACACCAAGCCUCAUCUGGAAAACAGGGACUGUUUGCAAAGGGAUAUUGUAACCACACUCUAUGGAUGUAAAGAGGUGCUUAGUUCUUGUGAAAGUGCUCUGGCAUGGGUGUGGAGCCUGUGCGUCCUCUCAGGGCUGUGCCGAUAGUAUCAAGAGCCUCCCCCACCCAUCGCACCCUGCCCACUUCCGUCCUUUGCUUACUAGACCCUUACUUAGCCAGUGACUCAUUCUUGAACCAGAACAUUGGUGAAGCUCAACUGAGACCAGAGAUCAGCGUCUUUACACCUAGACUGUUGGAGAAAAUCCAGAAUUGACACCAAAAGCUCCAAAUGCUCUGGGUUUCAGACCAUCUGUGCUGUGAACACUCAGACCCAGAACUCUGACUUACUACAAAAGGCUCAUCCUUACCACAGGUGAGUCUUCCUAGAGCAAACCUGAUGAUGAAAUAUGGAAUACACACAAACACAUGCACGCACACAGGCACUGAAAAAUGAUAGCACCGUGGAUCUCUGAGUACAUGUUUGCCAUAUACAAGACUGUUUCAGGGUGCCUGGGUGGCUCAGUCGGUUGAGCGUCUGACUCUUGAUUUUGGCUCAGGUCAUGAUCCCAGGGUCAUGGGACUGAACACCACAUUGGGCUCCAUGCUAAGCAUGGAGCCUGCUUAAGAUUCGUAUUCUCUCUCUCUCUCUCUCUCUCUGUCUCUUCCUCUCUCUCUCCCCCCUUCUGCCCUUCUGCUCUCUCUCUCUCUAAAAUAAAAUAAAAAAAUUGAAAAAAUAAAAGACUGUUUUAUUUCCUAAGAGGAUUUGAAUUAAGAUUCAUUAAGUGGGCGCCUGGGUGGCUCAAUUAGUUAAGUGAUCAACUCUUGAUUUCAGCUCAAGUCAUGACCUCAUGGUUGUGAGACAGAGCCCUGCCUUGGGCUCUGGGCUGGAUGUGGAGGCUGCGUGAGAUUCUCUCUGUCUCUCCCUCUCCCUCUUUCCCCAGGCUCUCUCCCUCUCUCUCAAAAAAAAAAAAAAAAAAAAAAAAAAAAAAAAAAAAGAAAGAAAGAAAA